UACAGAGACUGCAAGCGUUAUUCGGAUUCACUGGGCGUAAAGGGUGCGCAGGCGGCCAAGUGUGUGAGGCGUGAAAGCCCGGGGCUUAACCCCGGAAUUGCACUUCAAACUACAUGGCUAGAGCAUUGGAGAGGGUAGCAGAAUUCAUGGUGUAGCAGUGAAAUGCGUAGAUAUCAUGAGGAAUACCAGAGGCGAAGGCGGCUACCUGGACAAUUGCUGACGCUCAGGCACGAAAGCGUGGGGAGCAAAAGGG
rnacentral:rRNA from 1 species